rnacentral:lncRNA from 1 species
AGAAUUCAAUGGACAGUGUCAAUAGAUAAAUAAAUGAAAGGAUUGUUAUCAUUUUUUCAAAGUAAACUUUAAUGCUGUUCAUUCAUCUUAUUGAACUAGCACCUGAUCCACUGAGAAAUAGUCUCAAUCUCAUUAACUUGAGGCAGCUCACAUUCCAAAUAAAAUAAACUGAGAGGAAGAAAAUAUUGUUUAUAGGCAGUUUUUGUAAAAAAGAAUGUCUAUCAGCAGCUCUGUAGCUUGAACACAUACAGAAAUACAUCUAUUACAUUUAACUAGAAUGGGGCACAGUGAAUCAGCUUCCCUGUUCUGAACUGCUUAAGGGCAGACAUUUCAUUUUAUUUCUUCCUGGCUUUUCUGCAUUAAAAACUGAUUCCGUCUUUGACAGGUUGCACUGUAGAUGGCCUUGUUACAGUGCACGGGCAUUCUGGUGAAUGACUUUGAUUACUCUGGGACGAGGUCCUGUUGCUGUGAAAAUCAGGUAGAGUCUUGCUGUGUUGUCCAGGCUGGAGUGAAGUGACAUGACCAAGCUCAUUGCAACCUCUAUCUCUGAGGCUCAAGCAAUCCUCCCACCUCAGCUUCUUAAGUUGCUGGAGACUACAGGCAUGCACCACCACGCCUAGUUAUUUUUUUUUUUAUUAAUUUUUUUAAACGGCUGGUCUUGAAGUCCUGAGCUCAAGCAAUCCUCCUGCCUCGCCCUCCAAAAGUGCUGAGGUUACAUGUUUGAGCCACCGUUCCUGGUCUGGGAAGUUAUUUUUAAAGUGUGAUUUGAUUUUUAUUAUCCCCUUGGAAAAUGUGAGAUAAUAUUUGCUUGCUUUCUUGUCCUUGUGUUCAAUUUCUUUGUUUUAUUCAAUUUACUUUAGCUAUAUUUUGUUUUAAAAUAUCAAAAUAUAUAAUUAUGUAUAAUCUUUUGUGAAUUGUAUCUUAAUUAUUGUUGCAUAUAAAGAGUUGUUCUAAAUUAUAAUGUUUAAUAAAUUAAAGCAACUCUCUUUGAAAAA